UGAUUUGUCGUUAGAAAAGGAAAAGAAAGAAAAACAAAAAAGAUAGGUAGCAGUCCCAUGAGAACAAUCAAGAAUAGAGGAUGCAAUAAAAGAAGUAAAAGAGAAAUUGAGUGAAAAAUCAAAUAAAGGGCUAAGAAAAUGACCUCAAUUUGAUCACCAAUGUGAAUGAUCAAGGCAUCAGGAAUAUACUUAGCUUCAAUCCACUGGUCAUCCUUGAAGAUUUGCAAUCCGGGGACCUCAUUUUGCAUGUCCUUGUCCUGUUGCUCUAUUGAGGUCCGAUCAGCUUCUGGUCCAUUUAUACUUGCCAGCGAAAACUCUUCUGGAGGUGUAAAUUUAUUGCAUGUCUCUUCAUCUGAUUCUUCAGUGCCUCAUGUAUCCAUUAAGUAUUUAAUUGUGGUAAGCAGGGGGCUAAAACCUGGCUUCAUUUCCAUGACUAAUAUAUCAAAUUCCUCUCCGUCUAGAAUCAAUGAAAGCUGUUUAUUUAAAGUCGUGAAAGAGGUUGUGCUCAGAAGCACCUUGACUCCCAUAAGUGAACCUUGACUCACACUUGUAAUGUCAUAACCAAUCAUCUUGCCUACAUCUUCUACCAUGGAUUCAAUACAUCUACGGUUCCAUCCAAUCAGAGGAAGUCCCAGAAUAGACACCCAAACAAAUCUAUCUAUUGCUUUUACUUCCCUUUUCCAUGGUUUGAUACUAGAGAAGUAGUUUGCCAAGGCAAAGCUACUGUUUAUUAAUUCUUUCUCCAUGGUCUCUUUGUCUGUAAAGGUGAUAACUACUUGGCUUGCUCCCAGGAAGCGAAAUCCAAUUGCCUUAACAAUUUUCAAAACCAUAUGCUCUAGUUAUGCAUAGUCCACUUAUGUGGCUAUAGAACCGACUAAACUUCUCAAUAGCCAUUCCUUGUCAUCCUGUGUAGACUCAUACACCACAGUCUUCUUUGAUGGUUGUUGGACCAAAAGAGCUUCAACAAAGGUCCUGUUGUCUCCGAGGGCUAGUUUGGGCAAGAUUUUGGUUUCUAGGUUUGUGGUGAGGGCUGUCUUUUCCUUGGAAUCUGUAGGUGUUUGAAAUCUUGCUAGGCUUGCAUGAAUUUUGAAAAAGUCAAACCAUAUAAGGUUUAAUCUGUCAUAAAGGUCUGCAUAUUCUAAAUAGAAGAAGAAAGAUACAAAACCAAACCGUCUCCCUCGUUUUGUUUUUUUCCUGGAAACAAAGAGGUUGGUGAUAGGACUAAUCUUUGAAAAAGCCUUUUUGAAAUCUUGGUAAUCAAGCCAAAACAGGAAUCGUUCAAAACAAAACUUAGUAGAGACAGAGGGAGUGGGAGUUGUGUUAGGUAAGUGUUUGUUGUUUUGGCUGUUGUUUGUGUAACACAUAGGUUGCAAAAAGUUUAGGAUGGCAGGGUGAAGAGGGGGGUGUUGUGUAUGCUUAAGAGGGACAAUUGCAGGUGUUUGUGGGGUUGGAUUGUAAUGGGGAGGUUUGAAAAAGGUUGUUAAGACCUGGGUUGCAAGGGAGGUGAUGAUAGAUAAAAGGGGAGGUUUUUUUGUUGGGAGCAUCGUUGCAGGCUUACAAGUACAUCCUUUUCAAGGAUGUAUGGAACAUUCAUUCAAGUAAUAAGAAAUUAUCAAACACCUUUUAGAACUUUCUGAAUCUGUUUUUCUUUCUCUUCUUGACUUAUAUCAUCAAUGAUAUAUAACAUCCAUUUAUUAUUAUCUUUUUGUCCAAUCGUUAUAUAUUUUAGAAGGGUCCCGUUUAAUUUUACAGCAAAAAAGCUUCGACGAUUCAUCUACAUAAUAGAAACAACAGAUGCUAGUCAUGAAUACCAAUAAAGUGUUGGUCUAGCAGUUAAGACAUGCUAUAUCUCUAUAAGGGUGAGAAUACAAGUUUAAUUUCUAAAAAGCGCACUUUUUAGGAGGGGCAACCAUGAAUCCCGAACGAGACUAGUCUCACCCUUUAAAAAAAAAUAUUAAUCAUGAAUUUAAAUUUCAAUCCAACAUAGAAGGAUUAUAGGUAAUCACAAAUUAGUCGUAUUUUGUUAUUUCCGUAAUCAACUAUUAAAUCUAUCAACGUUAACCAUAGCAAAUAGAUUGUUUCACAUUCUAACAAACAAAUGCUAGGUUCCAUCCUAGGUUUAUGAAUGUGGUUUGAAAAUAUCUAUUUUAUAAAAAAGUAGUUUUAGUUGAGGUUGGUUUGAUAAAAUAUAUGUUUGGUUAAAAUUGUGGUUGAAAUUAAAGUUGAAAAAAAUAAUAAUUUAAUUUGUUUGGUUAAAAAUACUUUUUAAAUUGAGGUUAUAAAAUGACUAAAAAAACAUAUAUUAAUAUUAAUGGUUUUUAAUUAAAAAAUUUUAGAUUUAACUACUACACAUCAUGAAAAUAAACAAUACUUGAUACAAAAUAUUUUUUAUUGCUCCAUUACACUAUUUGUAAUUCCAUCACGUACGAAAUCCAUUUGACUAGGCCUCGAGGUACCAUGGCUUCUUGAGUGUGCAGCAACAUCAGGUCAAAUAUCAUCAGGAAUAAAAUUGAAAUUGCGAUUAAAUUCUACAAAUGCUAUGUCAUCAUGUCAUUUUCUUCUAAUGUAAUUAUGUAGUGUCAUUGAUGCCACUACAAUUGUCAACUUGCGUUUUGUAUGGAUAAGCAGGCAUGUUUUGUAAAAUCCUCCAUCUCUGUUUCCAUACUUCAAAAGAAUAUUAUAUCACAUUAUGUAGCAAUGAGUAUGCAUGAUUAAAAACUUCUUAUUAAUUUUUUAAUUGUUCAUGAUGUCUAAAAUUACAUAAGAAUGAAGAUAAAAAAAAUAUAAUGAUAAAUAAGUUAAGUGAAAAGUGAUAUAUAUAUAUAUAUAUACAAGAGAAAUUUAUUUUUCAAUAAAACCCAAAAAUUACAGAUUUACUAAAAAAAAUUCAAUUAGACCAUUUUUAUAGUAUUUGUAUAAUAGUAAUAAUAAUUAAUUUAUGCAUCAUGAUGCUACAGGAGAGUGAAAAUAAUUAAUUCAAAAUGGUUGUUUGCCUUGGUCACAGGCUCCAAUACUUCCACGUUAUCUUAAGCAGCACUUUUAUUUAACCACAGGUGCAGCCAGAUUAUGAUGGGCCCCAUCAUAAUAAAAGCUGAUUGUAGCAUAACCAAACAUAUAAAAAUUAUAGCUUACUUUAACCUUAAACGUAGCCCGCACUACCAAACUACACUGCGCAGUAAUGUGCUUGCUUGGGACCGACCACGAUAUUGGAAAAUAACUAAUAAAUAUAUAAUCAUAUUCUAAUAUAAAAUAGCUGUGACAAAUUAGAACUCUCAAUUAAAGUUGUCAUUUCGAUAAAUAUUUUAUUUUUUUAAUUAAAAUAAAAUGUUUUAGUUUUGGAGUGUUUCGGCGUGCCGUUUCGGGUUGUACUGUUCAUAUAUAUAUAUUCAACAAACAUAAUUCAAAUUCAAGAUAAAUUAAUUAUAAAUUAUACAAUACAAACACAAUACCAAACAAAUAUAAUUUCAAAAUUUAAAAUAUUUCUAAAUAGUCAAGAUUAAAUAGAUCUUUAACUUAAAGUAAUUCAACUUAAACAAAAUAUCAAAAUAUUAUGAAAGUAAAAUGUUUUAACAAAAAUAUUUUAAAUAUAAAGUUAGGUCAAUGUUAUCAAGGCUAAUGGAAUCUAAAGCAUCAUUUGUUUUGCUCAAAUUCCUACGAAGUAUAAACAUGAAAAAAGCAACAUGAAUAUAAACCAUAUAUAUUAAUGAUAAAUCUAAUUUUAACAUUGUUAAUGAAAAUAGUAAUAAUAAUUUUUAAUAUUAUUUUUAAUAUCAUUGUUAUUGAAAAUAGUAAUGAAAAAGAGUUUUUUAUAAUUGGGUGGUUUAAUUAAUUAAAUUAAACAAGGUUCAAUUUGAUUCAGUGGCUUUUCAAGAGUGGAACGGAACAUGUGGAAUGAAAUCGGAACGUUCUGGACGGAAUUUAGCCGAAAAAUCCAGAACGAGCCGAGAUUUAAAAUGAGAUGAAAUUUAUUCCGUUUUUUGAAUUGGUAUGAAUGUUUCGGCCAUUCCAGAUGAAAUGGAACGGAAUUGACAACCUUGCUCUCAACUUAAGUUGCUGACUUCAAUGUUGUUUCUGCCACAUAUAAAGUCUCUUAAAUCUAGACUUUUUUUCUCCAUUUCCUUGUAGGAAACUUCUUUUUUCUUCCUGUCGAUUUGCCUCAAGAAAACCGCCUCUGGUUGCCAAUUUAUUGCUGCUUGAAUUUCUACUGCUAUCCAUCUUGGUUGUUGUUGAUUUAUACAUGGUUCUCAUCAAUAUCUCGUAACAUGUGUGAAUUUAAGAAAAAUAUAAUGUUUUGUAUAUAAUUAGUGAGAUAAUGUUUUUUAUACACCAUUGCUUUAUAAUUGAAGGAAUUGUGUGCUUUUUUUCUUUUGUUUCAAAUAUUAAAAAAUAAUACUAGUUUUUUGUCGUUUUUUUUUUUAAAAAUUGAUAUAUAUGGAGUAUAUAUAUGCAAUCUAUCUUUCGCAGAACUACAAAAAUAAACUUAAUUUUUGUGAGCCAAAUUGAAUCGGUAUCACCUAGCUUUAUUACCUUCCUAUUCAUAAAAAACUAAAAUAGUAAAAUUGCACUCGAGAAAACAAGAAGAAAAGAUUCCCAACAGGGUUUUGGCCACAAAAUUAAAAAUAGCAGGUCCAUAAUAUUAUCAUCACAGAGAGCACACCAUUAUUCCGAGUGCUAAAUCAAGGGGGAUCUCUAAAGCAAGACCUCAUAAAGUAAUACCAAGUUAAAUGCAUAUGAAAUUCAUGGAAGGCUUAUGGGCAGUGACAUCUCCCAAGUCCUCACUACUGGGGAAGCUUGUUGAGUUUACAGUACGUGUAAUCCUUGAAUUUUUUGGUCUUGAACUUUGGAGGAUUGUCGUUGUUAAUGAAUUGAGGAAGAGGACCCACCACAAGCUCGCCUGGUGGCUCCAAGAAAACUGGCCAUGACAUUCUAGCCCUAUCUUUAGCCACCGUGGUUCGAUGCAAAACAGCCUUGUACUUCCCAUUGCUAAGGAUCUGCAUUCCAAUUGCCGAGUGUACAUGUAGUUGACAAAUUUUAGUAAACAUCAACACUAAGUCAAGAGAAAUUAUACAGAUAGCAUUUAAAUGAUAGUCCCCGUAAUAAUUACCAGACCCGACUAGGAAUUGACCUGGCACCAAUAAACUAUUAAUUAAAAAAAUUUCAAAAAAAUAUAUUUAAAAUUUUAAUAUUUUAUAUGAAAAAAUUAAGAAAUAAUUCUUAUAAAUAUAUGCUAGAUAUGUUAUAAAUAAUGAAGAUUAAGAGAUUGUUUUAAAAUAUUUUUUUAUCCCACAUUGAAAAGAUAUUAUGUUAUCCUUUUAAGUUGAAAUAUUUAAACCAAAUUUUUUUUUAUUUCACAUUGAAAAAUAUAACUUUUUUUCUUGUGAACAUAGAAUAUAUAUACUAAAACGCUUCAAAUUCUACAUUGAAAAAAUAAAAUAUUUUUCUAAUAUUUAUAUAGUGAACUUUGAAAAGGGUUAACAACCAACUAAAAAAUAUAAAAAAAGAUGAGUAUUUGGUUAGGAGAAAAAACACAUUUUAAAAAAAAAAAGUUUUGUUAGGUCGCCCAAAUCACAGAUCAACCCGAUAGUUCAACCAGGUUUUUUCAAAUGAUGCCAACUUUUUUGUAGUUAAUUUCAUGAGUAGACCGAUAGUAAACUUUUUUGCAGUGACACUACUUUAUACCUAAAAAAGAACUAAGUAUUAGGAGCAAAUGAUGUAUCAUAAAACAUAGCCAUGUUAAUUAGGUAUGUGCCCACACCCGUCUUUUGCUUUAAUAGCAACAAGUUAUUGCUUACAACCAGUUGGCAUUUAGUGGAGGAGGAGUUAAUGAAGCCUUUAUGAGGAGUCCAUCCUUCAUUUAUUUGAUUUGUCGUUAGAAAAGGAAAAGAAAGAAAAACAAAAAAGAUAGGUAGCAGUCCCAUGAGAACAAUCAAGAAUAGAGGAUGCAAUAAAAGAAGUAAAAGAGAAAUUGAGUGAAAAAUCAAAUAAAGGGCUAAGAAAAUGACCUCAAUUUGAUCACCAAUGUGAAUGAUCAAGGCAUCAGGAAUAUACUUAGCUUCAAUCCACUGGUCAUCCUUGAAGAUUUGCAAUCCGGGGACCUCAUUAGGCACAAGAAUGGUGAUGGCAGAUAGAUCAGUAUGAGCCACUACCCCAAGUGUUAGGUCUGGACGUGGGCAUGGUGGAUAGUAAUUUAUUUUGAGCAUGUAUUCAAUUUGUUCACCUCCGGCAGCUUCUUUCAACACAUGCCCUUCAAGCCCUAACCCUAAAGAGAGGGUUGUGAAUAGCUUGUCCACCACAUCUCUCAUACACUUAGCAUACUCCUUGGUAACUUCUCUGCUCAUAGAAAAAUAUUAUCAUUUAGUCAAAGGGACGAAUCAAGGGUUGGAAAAGUUGGAGGGUCAAAAUGUGUAGUUUUAGUGUCAGCGGUGGCACAUUUCGUGUAAAUGUUCUAAGAUUUUGUAUGAUAUUUUGAAAAAGUUUGAGACAUGCAACCACCUAAACUCUCCUUUCUGAUGGUUAAGAAAUUGAUAAUAAUAAUAAAACUAUAUAUUUUUAGGAGCAUAUUUCUUAAACUGGGUAGUUAAUCUAAAAAAUUCUCAAUUCUAAGCUCUUAAUUUUAGUUUAAAUUUUUAGUUAAGUCGAAUCAGAUAUUAACAGGCUAAAUUUAGUUAUUGAACUCUAACUAAGAUUUUAAUGAUCUAAUUUAUCUGAUCAAAAACUUAAUAUAAAUAUAAUCAAAUCAAUACAAAGUUUUUUUAAAAAAAUAAAAAAACAAUUUUUUAUUAAAAAAAUUAACUCAUGAUUCAAAUCUAGCCUCAUAAUUAUCAGUACUUAUGAACUAAAUCAGUGGUUCAUAUUACGCUGUAGGUCAAAAUAAAAAACAAUUAAUGUGCUAAUUUUUUUCUAGUAAAAUGUUUUUAUUAAAAAGAAAUUAUAUAGAAAUUGAUUCGAUACGACUUAGUCAACCUAAAUAUCUAGUUAAAAUUUAGUUUAUCUUAAAAUAAAUAUUGAAUAUGAGAUUUUAUAUUAAUGUUAAUUAACUAGGAAGCAUGGUCAUGUCUAGAAUUACAGUUCGGUCCUCACUACCCAAGUAUUCCUAAAUCCUUUAUGGUGUCAAGUUUAGGGUUUUGAGACUCGAUUUAAUAAUCUACAAAACGGUUUCUGUAUCUUGUUGCAAACAGUUUCAAGCAGCUGAGGAUUACUUGUGUUAUCAAAAGAAACGGUAUCCCCCAAAGUGGAAAGUGAGGCAUCUAGGACUGUGGAAACCAUGGGUAGCCCCAAAUGACCCCUCAAAGUCGAAACAAAAUAUGUUAAUUUCUAACUAAUUAGGUUCCUACAAAAGUUUUUGGUUGUUUAAUUUCAUGUGCGCUGACUACUGAUAUUAUCUGUCCCCCUUCGCAAGAACUUGGAUUUAGUCCUUACGUGGGAGUACUUGUGUCUUAUGCAGCACAUUUUUUUUUUAUUUUUUUACCCAAUUUAAAUGGUAGAAAACAGACCUGUAAGAAGGAGGGUUUUCGGGCCAGAACUGGUAAUUGAUGGAAGGAGGAGGCCAUAUCCUAUGAAAGAGAUGAUCAACCCAAGAUUUUUUUUCUUGGGGAUCUUUCUGCAAUUUGGAACCAUAGCCUUCGAUGCUUUUUGAAUCACGAGGCCUAGCACACACCUCUUUCUCUUCCUGAGGGAGUUCGAAGAAUUUCUUACCAACACCCUGCAGUUCGGCAAUAAGAUCACUUGGAAUUCCAUGGUUUAUAACCUGGAAUAUCCCCCAUUCCUUGCUAGCAUCCGCAAUCAAAGCCACUAAUUUCUCUUGAUCAGGGUCACUGAGAUCAAUGGCUGGAAUCUCAGGGGCUACACCACGAAAUGUGGUUAUUGCUGGCUGCUCUUUCUCUGGCCUGAUGAAUUCUUGAGGAAUCGCUUCCUUGUCAAAUGACAAAGAAGCGAUGGUUUGAACUCUAUCAAACUCCAUCCUGAAGGUUGUCUUCUUGUUUCUUAAUUUCUCUUCAAAGCAAAAUAAACUGCCCUCAAUAUAUAGAGAGAGACUUGAGUUACGAGCAUGCAUGUAAUUAAAGUGUCUGUAAUUUAUUAUAGGUAGGGCAGUAUGAUCACAUGAUUCACCGAUUAGGUUGGAUUAUUAUUAUGAUUAACUCAAGAAAACACAUGUGGGAUGCUGGUUGGUUGAGAAAUCCAAAUCAAAUUUAACACAUUUAUCUUUAGCAAAGAUUAAGAGUUGUGAAAUUGGAGGAAAGAACUAAAUCAGCCGCUAAUCAGAACCACCACCGCACACAAAUGAUCAAUGAAUAAAUCUUACCAUUUUUUAUUUUAUUUUGAGCGGCAUCGAUUGUUUCGUUUUUAGGUUGGUAGAUCCAACGUCAAUUUAGCCAGGAGGUUUUUGAGAUGACAGAAUCCGAGAAAGUGUACAAAUCUCUAGAUUUUUUAGUUUUGAAUUAUCAUCUAUUCAUCAUCAAAUUCUAGUACAAGCAAAUUUCUAGCCUCACAUUCCUAGAAACAAAAACUCUAAGCUAACGUGGACGUUCCACAUCUUCUUCUUUUUAUUCUGAGAAUGUCUGAAUUGUAAAUUAAUGCACCGUUGGCAACCUUGUUUCAGACCAUGGAAGAUAAUCAUUGAGACAGAGUUCACGUGGCUAUGUAUGAACUUUUCGUUUUCAAACUUCUUUACAAGUUUUUAUUUUAUUUUAUAAAUACUAAAUUAAUAUAUAUAUAUAUAUAUAUAUAUUAUUUUUUAGAUGAUGAUAUAAAAAAUAAAAAAUAUAUUAUUUUAAAAUAUUUUCAAUUAAAAAUCACUUUUAAAAAUAUCUUACACAAUAUUACUAAACAAAUACUAAAACUUAUCAUAUUUCCACACAUAUAUAUACAUGCGAACCACAUACCCUACUUCUUCUAAUCACGUAAGGAGGGCUCUACCCCUAUCUAAAACAAGACAAUAAUCAAAUGGAAAUAGAUUGUGUUAGAUUUGAUAGAUCUAAGCAUGUUUUUAGAAUAAUUUGUAUUUAGAUUUAAUGUGGAAAAAAUAAAUAGAUCUUGAUAUACCUCCCGUUAUUGAUGAAAAAUACUCAGGUUUUUUUUAAAGGUUUUGGUAUUUCUAAUCUCUAGCACGCACAAAUCUAAUGGUGUAUUUUUAAGGCAAAAGUUUGUAUAUUAGUGUGUAAGCCUAGGAAUCAAAAGCAUGUAUUUAUAUAGCAGAAGUCUUAUUAACUUUUAAUUGAUAUAACUUUAUUGCAAUUGAAGAUGAGAGUUAAUUUAUUAUUGGACUAAAAGUUAAAAUUCUUGAAAAAAUUGAAUCUCACAUGGAUAUAAUACAACAUAACUUUAACAUUCUUCCACUUAAUUAAUAUAUUUAACUCAAUCUCUUAACUUAAGCAUAUCCUUUAUCUUUCUUGGAAAACAAAUGCAUGAAUCAUGAUGAUAAGUCCUCUAAUCAUGAGUAUUGCACUCCAUGUAUUACAAUGCAUAUAAUUUCUCAAAUAUUAUUCUAUAUGUGUUAAUCUCACUUAAUGAAUAAACCUUAUAUUUAUUCUUGGUCCUAUAUAAAUGAGUUUUCUCAAAUAAAUUUCAAAUAAAUUAAGGUACACAUAAAUAUUAGAAAAUAUCACAACAAAUAGAACUUCUUUUCUUUAACACAUUCUCUUAUUACUAAAUAUUUGAUGUUGAUAUGUUUACUUCACCUGCCACUUUUGUUGUUUUUAGCCAUAAAAACAUCUAAAUUGUCACAAUAUAUUCUUAAUAGCUUUGAAAUAGAAUCUAUAAUUUUAAUCCUAGAUAUUAAACUUUUAAAAAAUACACCAUGUGCAAUAGCCUAAAAAUAAGAAAUGAACUCAGCUUUCAUAGUGGAAAUAGUAGUCAAAUUCUACUUAACACUUCUACAAGAUACAACUCCAUUGGCCAAUAUAAAAAUAUAUCCUGAUGUUGCUUUGCAUGAAUCAACAUAAAAAACAAAGUUUGAAUCUGAUUAGCCACUUACUUUCAGAUUGUCUGUAUAUCUAUACAUAAGUAUAUAGUAUUUGGUCCUUUGAAGUUACCUUAUUACUUUCUGUACAACUCUCUAGUGGUCUAUACUUGGAUUGCUUUAAAAUUAUCAUAACAUUCCCACAACAAAUAUAAUGUCAUGCCUUGUAUGGAUCUAAGUAGUAUACAUUAAGCUUCCUAUAACAAAAACAUAUGGAAUGUUCUUCAUUUGUUCCCUUUCAAGAUUAUUUUCGUGCAUUGAUUCAAAUUAAACUUAUCUCCCUUAACAAUCGAAGCAACACUUUGUAAACAAUCUUUCAUCUAAAAUCUCUUUACAACUUUAUUGAUAUAGAUUUUUUGAAACAAAUCUCAUAUGCGUUUAAAUCUUCUUUGUAUAUCUUAAUGUAAACGACAUAAAAUACCUCACCUAUAUCCUUCAUGUCAAAGCUCUUAUAAAGAAAUUGUUUCGCCUCAUGUAACAACUUUUAUCAUUGGUCAUAAGUAGAACAUCAUCCAUUUAUAAAACAAUGAAAAAAAGUCUUACUCCCACUGAUUUUUCUGGUAUAUGCAUUGAUCUAUGAUGUUCUCUUCAAGUCCAAAAAAUAAAUUACAUAAUGGAAUUUAAAGUACCAUUGUUGGGAUGCUUGUUUUAAACCAUAUGGAUUUCUUGAGCUUGCAAACCAGAUGUUCAUCAUCACUAAAGGAGAAUCAUUCAGGUUGUUUCAUGUAAACCUCCUCCUCUAGAUCUCCAUUGAGAAAUAUAAUUUGCACAUUCAUUCGUUGCAUUUUUAAGUCAAAAUAUGCUUUUAAUACCAAAAUAAUACAUAGAGAUUCUUUCUUAGAUAUAAGAGAGAAAGUCUCAUUGUAAUUAGUUCUUUCAUUUUGAAUGAAUCCUUUAGCAAGGAAUUUUGCUUUAUAUUGUUCAAUGUUGCCUAAUGAGUCUAUCUUUGUCUUAAAGACUCAUUUACAAUCAAUGAAUCUUGUAUUAUUAGGCAGCUCAACAAGAUCUUAGACUUUGUUACUCUUUAUAGAAUUCAUAUCUUCCUUUAUGGCAUUAUAUAAGAAUUAUGAUUCUUUGCAACUUAUGGCCAGUAAAACAAAUUCAUGAUUAUUUUUUGCUCCAAUGUUAUAGUCAGAUUCUUAUAUAUACAUAACAUAAUCAUUAUGAAUUGUUGAUCUCUUUAUUCUAAUGGAUCUUCUUAAAAAGUAUUUGGUUUAAUUGGUUAUUCAGAAAUUCUUGAUAAUGCUUGAACUACCUGAUCUACUGAAAUGUUGUUAUCAGUUUGUGGAACUUCAACAAUUAGUCUUUAGACCCCAUUUUGUAUUCUUGAACGAUGCUCUUAACAAUAACCAAUAUAUAACUUGAUGUGGAAGGUUGUAAUUCUAAAUGAUAUUUCUCAAAAACUAUGUUCCUGAAUUGAUUGCUCACACUUAUCAAGUCAUUUUCAGAAAACUUUGCAUUUCUUAAUUCCACAAUCCUAGUACUAUAAGAUGGACAGUAAAAUCUAUACUUUUAUACCUUUCAACAUAUGUAACGAAACACACACUAAUGGUCCUUGGGUCUGACUUCUUUUCUUGUGGAUUGUAAAUUCCUACUUUAGAUGGGCAUCCCUAAACACACAAAUGUCGCAAACUUGAUUUCCCACUACAAGAUUUCAUAGUUUUACCGACGGAUAUAUUCCAUCGGUGUGUGAUAGAACUUUCAUCGGUAAAGUAUUUACCGACUAUAUUACCGACGGAAUACUCCCGUCGGAAUACCUUUUGUCGGUGAUUCCACAUUCCGUCGCUAUAUCGGUCGGAAAUACAAAAAAAACUUUUACCGACGGUUUUACCGACGGACAGUGCGCGCCAAAAAAAAAGUUUCCCGCUUGGAAUAUACUGACGGAAUAUUUUCCGUCGGUGUUAUAAAAAUACCGACGGACUAACUCCGUCAGCAAAAGUGUCGGUGAUAUUUUAUACCGACCGAAUAUUUCCGUCGGUAAAUUUAUACCGACGGAUUUGUUCCGUCGGUGAUGGUGGUAGACACUGUCCAAUGCCGACGGAGUUUUUCCAUCGGUAAAUCCCUGUGUAAUUGUUUUUUUUUAAUUGUUUUGAAAAAAUAAUAUAAAUUAAUGGUAAUACAAACCAAUUAUGCAAAUAAAAUUUAUAUUAAGCAACAAAAACUCAAUUAGACACAUCUUUCUAGCCAAAUUAAGUUAUUUGAAAAGCACAUGUUCACCUUUAAUUCAAUUUAAGUUUUUUUAAAAAAAUAUUAAUAAUCUUAUUUUUUAUGUUAGAUUUGUUUUUAUAUAUCAGUUUUUUUUUAAUAUGUUAAUUUUAAUUUCAUAAGUUAGUUUAAUUUACAUAUAAAAAAUUAUAUUUUAUUAAAUUACUUUUGACUCUCCCUAUCAAAUAAUCUGAGUUCCGCCCUGGGUAGAUCCAACGUCAAUUUAGCCAGGAGAUUGUUGAGAUGACAGAAUCCGAUGCAGAAGAAGUAGUUCAAAUCUCCAGAUUAAGUACAAGCAAAUUUCUAGCCUCACAUUCCUAGAAAGUAGAAACAAAAACUCUAAGCUUGUAACUUAAUGCACUGUCGGCAACCUCAUUUCAGACCAUGAAAGAGAAAACAAGAAGAAAAGAUUCCCAACAGGGUUUUGGCCAUAAAAUUAAAUAUAGCAGGUCCAUAAUAUUAUCAUCACAGACAGGACACCAUUAUUCUGAGUGCUAAAUCCAGUGGCAUCUCUAAAGCAAGACCUCAUAAAGAAAUACCAAGUUACAUGCAUAUGAAAUUCAUGGAAGGCUUAUGGGCAGUGACAUCUCCCAAAUCCUCACUACUGGGGAAGCUUAUUGAGUUUACAGUACAUGUAAUCCUUGAAUUUUUUGGUCUUGAACUUUGUAGGAUUGUCUUUGUUAAUGAAUUGAGGAAGAGGACCCACCACAAGCUCGCCGGGUGGCUCCAAGAAAACUGGCCAUGACAUUCUUGCCCUAUCUUUAGCCACCGUGGUUCGAUGCAAAGCAGCCUUGUACUUACCAUUGCUAAGGAUCUGCAUUCCAAUUGCCAAGUGUACAUGUAGUUGACAAAUUUUAAUAACCAUUAACACAAUAAGUCAAGAGAAAUUAUACAGAUAGCCUUUUAAAUGAUAGUGCCCAUGCAUCAUUAUUUUUUCUAAAUGUUUUGUGAAGAGUUAAUUCAUCACAAAAUUGAAACCAGUAAUAAUGAUCAUGUUGUUUCUAAAAUAAAUAUUUUGUAGUUGCAAAAAAAUAUAUUAAAAUGUUCUAAAAUUUUUGUAGUUAAUUUCAUGAGGAGACCGAUAGUCCUCGAACCCGCAUGUUAGUUUUUUUUUUUUUUUUGUAAAAUUAAUAUUAAUUCUAAAUUUCUAUAUGAUGAAAAGUAAAUUAUUCAUUCUAAAAUUAAAAAAUUCACAAGAAACAUUACUUUAUACCUAAAAAUAUCUAAGUAUUCGGAGAAAAUGAUGUAUCACAAAAUAUAGCCAUGUUGGGUAUGCUACGAGCUGUGUGCCCACACCCUUCUUUUGCCAUGAAUGAAGGAUGGACUCCUCAUAAAGGCUUCAUUAACUCAUCCUCCACUAAAUGACCUUGAAAAAAAAAAAAGAAUUCAAAUCUCUUCUUUAUGAUUAACUAAAGAAAAAGGAAAAGAAAAACUUAACAUUGUCUCAUAUAUUUCCAAGAUUGAAAUUUAUUUGAUUUGUUGUUAGAAAUGGAAAAGAAAGAAAAACAAAAAAGAUAGCUAGGAGUCCAAUGAGAACAAACAAGAAUAGAGAAUGCAAUAAAAUAACUAAAAGAAAAAUUGAGUGAAAAAUCAAAUAAAGGGCUAGGAAAAUUACCUCAAUUUGAUCACCAAUGUGAAUGAUCAAGGCAUCAGGAAUGUACUUAGCUUCAAUCCAAUGGUCAUCCUUGAAGAUUUGCAAUCCAGGGACCUCAUUAGGCACAAGUAUGGUGAUGGCAGAUAGAUCAGUAUGAGCCUCUACCCCAAGUGUUAGGUCUGGACGUGGGCAUGGCGGAUAGUAAUUUAUUUUGAGCAUGUAUUCAAUUUGUUCACCUCCAGCAGCUUCUUUCAACACAUGCCCUUCGAGCCCUAACCCUAAAGAGAGGGUUGUGAAUAGCUUAUCUACCACUUU
rnacentral:lncRNA from 1 species